UAAAAUUCAAAUCAAAUUGAUUCAAUUAUGAAUUUCCAGUUGGUAUAAAGCAUAUCGUCUAAGGACCUAUUCAAACUUUCUCUUCCCUCUCUCUCAAUUAAACCAUGGAAUCCAUAAACUCAUAAGAAAUUUCAAUCAUAAACCCAGGGAGCAAGAUUUUGAUCAUGAAGCUCUCAGAUAGGAAUUUCUUUCUAUAGAGAUUACAAAUUGUUGCAGCCCUAGAAGGAAACGGACUUGAAGACCACAUCUAUGGAGAAAAACUAAUACCUAGCAAGAUCUUGAAGAUUACUCAAGAUAGUGUUACUGUUGAGAAAGAAAAUCCAGCUUACAAUCAAUGGAGGAGACAAGAUCAUUUGAUCUUCUCAUGAUUAUUGGGCUCCAUUAAUGAAGAAAUUCUUGGAGAUCUUAUUCACUGUACAAUCUCCAGUGAGGUCUGGAAAAAUUUGCAAGAGAUGUUUGUAGCGAAGAAUCUAAAGAGUACUUACGGAAAUUGAAGAAUCUUGUUGAUUGAUUGAAUGUUUCAGGAAAUGGUUUAUUGGAGCAACCAAUUGGUUUCAUGGAAGAUCCAAGUGCCAAAUAUGUUUUUAGAAGCUUAUUUUUGUCUCAAAGGAAGUACACUAUCGAUCUUCUUCAUAGAUGUUUGAAGCUAAUGGCAUUUCAACCCCUACUGUUAGUUCUCUUACAACAUCAGCUACUCAAGGUGAUACAUUUCAAGAUUUCUUCCUCUAUAGAGGCAUUGUAGAAGCUCGUCAAUACAUUACUUUGACAAGACCUGGUUUUUUUUUUUUUGGCAAUAUGUCAAAAGAAUUCUAAGAUAUCUCAAAGGAACUCUGACCCUAGAUUAUACUGGUAAAGACCUACUUCUCUUAAUGUAGUUGGUUUUACAGAUGCUGAUUGAGCAUCAGAUCCAGAUGACAGAAAACCGACUUCUGGUAUUUGCAUUUUGAUUGAAAAUAAUCCAGUUGUAUGGGGGGUUCCAAAAAAUAGUCCAUUAUUUCAAGAUCAGCACAUAAGUUGAA